AUUUCUCCAAAAUUUGCCUCAAACCCUAGGCCUCCAAACCCUAACUCACUUAAUUUAUUGCAUUUUACUAAUUCCAACCAUACAAACACAAUUCCUCAACUUAUUCAAGCUUUCUAACAUAUUUUAUUCAAUCAAACUCAUGCAAUACUCACCCCUACAUAGGCUGGACGAAAAUUCAGUUUGGUCCUCCCCCCAUUUUUUUUUCAUUUUAUUAGUUUCUAAGCUCAUUUCAAUAAGUAAUUUUGCAUUUAAAAUGAAAAAUAACAAGUUAACAUACUAACCUCUAUUAAAAUUUCAAAUCUCUAUCUUUUGCUCUUCUUUCUUCUUGUAAUCUUCUUCUUAAGUAGUAAUAACAAGCUCUAGUAAGGUUUUUAGGGGAGUUAUGAAGGUUGAGUGAAGGAAAAUUAAGUUUAAGUGUAAGCUUAAAUGUAGAAUUUUCAUGGAGGAUUUUGGGAGAAGGUGAGGCGGCAAUUGGGAGAAAGAAGAAGAGCUUU
rnacentral:misc_RNA from 1 species